GUCACAUUUCCUUUGGGGGCUGCUGCUCACCAAGGCCAGCAGAGCUCCUGUGCCAGCUCUGGAGCUGCUCCCUGAGCAAGGGCUGGCUCAUUUGUGCUGCUGGAGUGACAAAUAAUGGGAUUUCACCGACUGUUCUGCUUCCCCUUGUGCAUGUACAGGACUGAAAGGAAGCUUUCAGUAGUGCCAGUGAUCUUCCUGCAGAUGUUGGAGGUUUUGGAAACGGGCCCAUGAGUAAGAAGAAUGUUUCUGCUGUAGUGAAAUCAGCUGGAAGCACAGAGCAUGUGGAGACAGAGCUUUUCCAGGUCCUGGUGUUGUGCUGUGGAUGGAAGGAACAUCAAACCAAACCACUGUUUCCUGAGUGUGCAGGGAGGACAUUGGUGCCAGCACUGAUUCAUGGGUUCCAUUGUGAUUUAUGCCCUCUGGAGCUUUGUCAGAUAGGAAGUGAUGAUGGGACAGGAAGCCAGGCAUUGUAAGAGAACAUCCAUGAGUAUGUAACUGGAGGAAAAAGCUGCAAAAAUAAUUUAUGGAAGAUGUUAUAAAGCUGUACAGUCUGUAUGAAAAUAGAUCUAUGAUUGUGCACAGCUGGAAAUUGUAAUUGUUGAAAAUACUGCGAGCCAGUGACUGAUUUUUACGGGGGGAAGAGUCUGGUCUUGUGUUUGAGCAGUGUCAGAGAAAGCACUGGAAGGAUUAAAUCCCCCCUUCUCUCUGCCUUGUGUGAGCUCUGCUAAUGAAAGUUUUCUGAAAAAUACUUGUGAAAUUACCUCAGAUAUACAACUUAUAAACUAGCAAUAAAUUCUUCAUCUUGAAGGCUGGGGCUUAAUUA
rnacentral:lncRNA from 1 species